AGAGUUUGAUCCUGGCUCAGGAUGAACGCUGGCGGCGUGCAUAACACAUUCAAGUCGAACGGUGAAGGGACUUCGGUCCUGGAACAGUGGCGGACGGGUGAGUAACGCGUGAGCAAUCUGCCCGGCAUAGAGGGAUAACACAGGGAAACUUGUGCUAAUACCACAUGAUGUAUACCGAUCGCAUGUUUGGUAUACCAAAGGGAAACCGAUGUCGGAUGAGCUCGCGUUGGAUUAGACAGUUGGCAGGGUAACGGCCUACCAAAUCAACGAUCCAUAGCCGAACUGAGAGGUUGAACGGCCACAUUGGAACUGAGAAACGGUCCAGACUCCUACGGGAGGCAGCAGUGGGGAAUAUUGGGCAAUGGGCGAAAGCCUGACCCAGCGACGCCGCGUGAGGGAAGACGGUCUUCGGAUUGUAAACCUCUUUCAGCAGGGAAGAAGCAAGUGACGGUACCUGCAGAAGAAGUCACGGCUAACUACGUGCCAGCAGCCGCGGUAAUACGUAGGUGGCGAGCGUUAUCCGGAAUUACUGGGUGUAAAGGGUGUGUAGGCGGGGAGGCAAGUCAGAUGUGAAAACCAAAAGCUCAACUUUUGGCCUGCAUUUGAAACUGUUUCUCUUGAGAGUGGGAGAGGUAAAUGGAAUUCCUGGUGUAGUAGUGAAAUGCGUAGAUAUCAGGAGGAACACCGGUGGCGAAGGCGAUUUACUGGACCAUUACUGACGCUGAGACACGAAAGCGUGGGGAGCAAACAGGAUUAGAUACCCUGGUAGUCCACGCUGUAAACGAUGAAUACUAGGGGGGGGGAAUCGAAGAAUUCCCUGCCGCAGUUAACACAAUAAGUUUUCCCCCUGGGGGAGUACGGCCGCAAGGGUUGAAACUCAAAGGAUUUGACGGGGAGCCCGCACAAGCAGUGGGAGUAUGUGGUUUAUUUGACGCAACGCGAAGACCCUUCCCGGAGCUUGACAUCCUGGGAAAGCCGAGUAAUGUUGGCCGUGCCCUUCGGGGAACCCAGAGACAGGUGGUGCAUGGUUGUCGUCAGCUCGUGUCGUGAGAUGUUGGGUUAAGUCCCGCAACGAGCGCAACCCCUGUCCUUAGUAGCCAGCAGUCCGGCUGGGCACUCUAGGGAGACUGCCAGGGAUAACCUGGAGGAAGGCGGGGAUGACGUCAAAUCAUCAUGCCCCUUAUGACUUGGGCUACACACGUGCUACAAUGGCGUAAACAAAGGGAAGCGAACCUGUGAGGGUAAGCAAAUCUCAAAAAUAACGUCUCGGUUCGGAUUGUAGUCUGCAACUCGACUACAUGAAGCUGGAAUCGCUAGUAAUCGCGAAUCAGAAUGUCGCGGUGAAUACGUUCCCGGGUCUUGUACACAGCGCCCGUCA
rnacentral:rRNA from 1 species